AUUGUUUCUCGGCCUUUUGGCUAAAAUCAAGUGUAGUAUCUGUUAUCAGUUUAAUGUCUUAUGUAUGAUCUAGCCAAGGAGAGUAUGAUACAUGGAUUGUUGGAGCUAAGAGAUUUAAUAGGAGCAGUUUCUGUCCACCCCACACAUCAACCUGGUAUUGCAGUUCCUCCAGAAUAGUGUACCGCGC